GGGUCAGUAGGUUGGUCGUGCCACCGGUACGUACUGGUCUCACUGAUUCCUCCUUCCUGAAGAACCGUAAUGCCAUUAAUUUGGUGUUGCGGGGAAACAGGACUGUUACUUUGAAAAAAUUAGAGUGUUUAAAGCAAGCUAACGCUUGAAUACAUUAGCAUGGAAUAAUGAAAUAGGACGAUCGAUCCUAUUUUGUUGGUCUCUAGGGUUGACGUA
rnacentral:rRNA from 1 species